GACGAACGCUGGCGGCGUGCUUAACACAUGCCAGUCGAACGGAAAGGCCCCUUUGGGGGUACUCGAGUGGCGAACGGGUGAGUAACACGUGAGUAAUCUGCCCUUGACUUCGGGAUAACUUCAGGAAACUGGGGCUAAUACCGGAUAGGAAUCCUUGCUGCAUGGUGGGGGUUGGAAAGCUUCGGCGGUUUUGGAUGGACUCGCGGCUUAUCAGCUUGUUGGUGGGGUAGUGGCUUACCAAGGCUUUGACGGGUAGCCGGCCUGAGAGGGCGACCGGCCACAUUGGGACUGAGAUACGGCCCAGACUCCUACGGGAGGCAGCAGUGGGGAAUAUUGCACAAUGGGCGGAAGCCUGAUGCAGCAACGCCGCGUGCGGGAUGACGGCCUUCGGGUUGUAAACCGCUUUCAGCAGGGGCGAAGCUUGUGGUGACGGUACCUGCAGAAGAAGCACCGGCUAACUACGUG
rnacentral:rRNA from 1 species